rnacentral:lncRNA from 1 species
AUAUCGGGGGUGCACUGGCACAGAGGAAAGGCCAUGUGAAGCAAGAAGGCAGCCAUCUGCAAGCCAAGGAGAGAAAUUUCAGAAGGAACCAACCCUACCGACAUCUUGAUCUUGGACUUUAAGCUGCCAGACCUUUUAUACAUUUUCUACAGAAAAUGCACCCCAUCAUUGCUUAUAGCCCACCCACGUGGACUGCUCAUUCUGUGAAUCAUGUUUUACAGAUUUGUUUAUGUGGCAUUCCUCGUUUGAAUAAAGCAGAACCAAAUGUCUUGGUUUGAAGAUUGAGAUGAAAUGGGAGGGCCACAAAUAGUAAUUUAUCUUUGAGCAUCGUAUAGAUAAACAUGUAACCUGAUACUAAACAAAAGUAAAUGCUCAUGGACUGUCAGUGAUGUGGUGGGAUAUGCCAGAGGGAAGUGAUUUGUGGACUCACUGGAGAGAGACUUCUACUAGAAAAAUUGCCUUGAUGUUAGGAAUUAAAAAAACAAAACAAAACAAAAAACAUGGAGCCGUAUUCUCCAGAAGCUUACAUCUGAUUUAACGAGACAGCAAUAGGAAGCCAAAGGGUCCCUGCAGAGGAGGGUUGCAGCACGAUAACUCUACAGCUGGACAGAGACAGAUUGCAGGGGAGCAAGAAUGAAUGGCAGGCCAGCUGCCAGAAGCUUCUCACUCCGUGGAGACCUUGGAGUCGAGGAUGAAAUGUCUUACAACUGUGGGGAGACCUUGGCUUUUCCAAAGCCUACCAGGGUCCAGCCCUAUAUUCUGCAACUAUGCUGGCAGAUUUAGGAGGUGAUAACUGCUGGGAAGAAGUUGUUAAAGAGAGAACUCAGAGCCCCCAUGCUCCAUCCUCAACCACUGGCUGACAGGGAAGGACUCCAAGCAGACAGUGGGUGAUACUGUUGCUACUGGUCUUUGAGAACUGCUGACUUACAAUGUAUGGACAGGUAAAUAGGGUUCAUUCUCCAGCCACCUCUCAUCUACCAAAGAAAGUGCAGGCUCCUGUAGCAUGUAAAGGAGGACUUGGAAGCUAAGGCCCAGAGAGGAGGAGAAACUUGAUCAAAGUCAAUCAGACAAUGCAGAAUCGAGAAAAGUACCUGGACCUCUAUGCCCAUGCUUCUAGCAGCCAGCCUCCUAAAAUACCUCUAGUUGAAGCCAAAGUUAGAAUCCUUCUACGAAACUACAGGAUUAAAAUGGAAUGGUUACAUGACCCAGGCUUGACCAAUCAGAUCAUCCAAACCCUUUGCCACAGUGAUUGGUCCAGGGAUACAUGCAUGAGCCAGCUCAGGUGGCAUUGUAUUAUGCGCCAAGAGUGAACCAGAUAGAGGAAGUUGCUCCUUAAGCUUGCAGGUCUGAAAGAACAAGGAAUUGCCUCUCUUCAAAGGCAAGUAACUUCCAUGAUUGACACUUUUCUCUCAUCAGCCCUCCAACAGUAAUUAUGCCAGAAACAGACCCAAACCUGGGCUAGUCACUUGUAGCAGGCUUUCUGGACAUAAGGCUGUAAUCACACCUGACUUUCCUUUCAGAUAAGAAGUCCAGCCACUUCUUUAAUUUAUCGGAUUAUAAGGCCUAAGCCACACUCAUCUUGUGGAUGACACUGGAGCUGUGACAGUCUGUUCUGUCCAGGCAGGGUGUCUUUUAUUUUUAUUGGAAAUAAGAUUAUCACAGCCCUUUGAGAGCUUCUGUGUCUCAACAUCAGAAAAUCAUCCUAGAUCCAUACUUGUACACAACAGUCUGUGCCAGUGAGAUUCAUUCUUUUGGGAGCUCUGCUAAUAAUGCACGAAUUGCUGGCUGUUGAUACUCUUUCUCAUCAACUCCCCAAAUGGAAAUGCUUUCAACCACUGCAGAAGUAAAAAAUUACCCAAAGGCUGUAUGAUGCAAACUCUUUCUUUGGCUUUAUCUUACUGAUAAGAAUAAAAAUAACACCUCACGUAUGUAU